rnacentral:rRNA from 1 species
AGGACGAACGCUGGCGGCGUGCUUAACACAUGCAAGUGGAGCGACGAACCAGGGCUUGCCCUGGGGCAGAGCCGCGAACGGGUGAGUAACACGUGGGUUACCUGCCUCGAUGACCGGGACAACCCGAGGAAACUCGGGCUAAUACCGGAUGUGCCCGCAAGGGGAAAGGAAGCUUCGGCCUCCGCAUCGAGAUGGGCCCGCGGCCCAUUAGCUUGUUGGUGAGGUAACGGCUCACCAAGGCUUCGAUGGGUAGCUGGUCUGAGAGGACGAUCAGCCACACUGGGACUGAGACACGGCCCAGACUCCUACGGGAGGCAGCAGUGGGGAAUCUUGCGCAAUGCGCGAAAGCGUGACGCAGCAACGCCGCGUGGGGGAAGAAGGCUUUCGGGUCGUAAACCCCUUUCAGUUGGGACGAAGCUUCGGCGGUGAAUAGCCGUUCGGAGUGACGGUACCUUCACAAGAAGCACCGGCUAACUACGUGCCAGCAGCCGC